rnacentral:rRNA from 1 species
CUUUACGGGGUAGUGGCGGACGGGUGAGUAACACGUAGGUAACCUACCCUUAAGAGGGGGACAACUCAGGGAAACUUGAGCUAAUACCCCAUAAGACCACGAACUGAGAUAUUAGUGGUAAAAGUCCUGAUGAAAAUCGGGGCACUUAAGGAUGGGCCUGUGGCCUAUCAGGUAGUUGGUGAGGUAAUGGCUCACCAAGCCUAAGACGGGUAGCCGGGCUGAGAGGUCGGACGGCCACACUGGAACUGAGAGACGGUCCAGACUCCUACGGGAGGCAGCAGUGGGGAAUAUUGCGCAAUGGGGGAAACCCUGACGCAGCGACGCCGCGUGGAGGAUGAAGGCCUUCGGGUUGUAAACUCCUUUUCUCAGGGAAAAUGGUGAUGGUACCUGAGGAAUAAGCCACGGCUAACUCUGUGCCAGCAGCCGCGGUAAGACAGAGGUGGCAAGCGUUGUUCGGAAUUACUGGGCUUAUAGGGCGAGUAGGCGGUGAGGUAAGUCUGAGGUGGAAUCCUAUGGCUUAACUAUAGAAUUGCCUCAGAAACUGUUUCACUUGAGUCAGUGAGGGGAGGGCGGAAUUCCUGGUGUAGCGGUGAAAUGCGUAGAUAUCAGGAGGAAGGCCUGUGGCGAAGGCGGCCCUCUGGCACUGAACUGACGCUGAGGCGCGAAAGCGUGGGUAGCAAACAGGAUUAGAUACCCUGGUAGUCCACGCCCUAAACGGUGGGCAUUAGGUGUAGGGCUCGUAAGGGUUCUGUGCCGAAGGGAAACCAUUAAAUGCCCCGCCUGGGGAGUACGGCCGCAAGGUUGAAACUCAAAGGAAUUGACGGGGGCCCGCACAAGCGGUGGAGCAUGUGGUUUAAUUCGACGCUACGCGAAGAACCUUACCUGGGUUUGACAUGUUAGUAGUAAGAACCCGAAAAGGGGAUGAUCCGCCGAAAGGCGGAAGCUAACACAGGUGCUGCAUGGCUGUCGUCAGCUCGUGCCGUGAGGUGUUGGGUUAAGUCCCGCAACGAGCGCAACCCUUAUUCUCUGUUGCCCCGUAUCAAGUACGGGGCUCUCUGAGGAAACUGCCGGCGAUGAGCUGGAGGAAGGCGGGGAUGACGUCAAGUCAGCAUGGCCCUUAUGUCCAGGGCGACACACGUGCUACAAUGGCUGCUACAGAGGGAUGCAAUACCGCGAGGUGGAGCUAAUCCCUAAAAGCAGUCUCAGUUGGGAUCGGAGUCUGCAACUCGACUCCGUGAACGCGGAAUCGCUAGUAAUCGUGGAUCAGCCAUGCCACGGUGAUACGUUCCCGGGCCUUGUACACACCGCCCGUC